AGGAGAGUUUGAUCCUGGCUCAGGAUGAACGCUGGCGGCGUGCCUAACACAUGCAAGUCGAACGAAGCGUCCCGCCCGAUGAAGUGGAGUGCUUGCACAAAGCGGAAUCAAUUGGGACGACUUAGUGGCGGACGGGUGAGUAACGCGUGGGUAACCUGCCUUAUACAGGGGGAUAACAGUUAGAAAUGACUGCUAAUACCGCAUAAGCGCACAGUACCGCAUGAUACAGUGUGAAAAGAUUUAUCGGUAUAAGAUGGACCCGCGUCUGAUUAGCCAGUUGGUGAGGUAACGGCUCACCAAAGCGACGAUCAGUAGCCGGCCUGAGAGGGUGAACGGCCACAUUGGGACUGAGACACGGCCCAAACUCCUACGGGAGGCAGCAGUGGGGGAUAUUGCACAAUGGGGGAAACCCUGAUGCAGCGACGCCGCGUGAGUGAAGAAGUAUUUCGGUAUGUAAAGCUCUAUCAGCAGGGAAGAAAAUGACGGUACCUGACUAAGAAGCCCCGGCUAACUACGUGCCAGCAGCCGCGGUAAUACGUAGGGGGCAAGCGUUAUCCGGAUUUACUGGGUGUAAAGGGAGCGUAGACGGCGAGCCAAGUCUGAUGUGAAAGGUGGGGGCUCAACCCCCAAACUGCAUUGGAAACUGGUUUGCUAGAGUGUCGGAGAGGUAAGUGGAAUUCCUAGUGUAGCGGUGAAAUGCGUAGAUAUUANGAGGAACACCAGUGGCGAAGGCGGCUUACUGGACGAUCACUGACGUUGAGGCUCGAAAGCGUGGGGAGCAAACAGGAUUAGAUACCCUGGUAGUCCCCU
rnacentral:rRNA from 1 species